rnacentral:misc_RNA from 1 species
CUUAUUUUAUAGACAAUAAAAUGCUCAAGAAAUAAGUCGCGUGAACGCCUUCAAACCCCAACCCCUCCGUCAUAGACUGGUCUACCUGAUGAAACAAAAUGGCUCCAAAAGGGAAAACAAGUCAACGUGAGGACUUGAAACAAGAAGAUAUUUUACAAGCUGUUGUAAUCGCUGACAGUUUCAAUGUUCGGUUUGGACCAGUCACACAGAGACGUCCACGGACUCUCCUGCCGCUGGUGAAUGUCCCACUGCUGGACUACACACUGGAGUUCCUGUAUGCAGCAGGAGUCCAGGAGGUGUUUGUGUUCUGCUGCCAUCUGGCUGACCAGAUCAGGACACACAUCAAAAAUUCCAAAUGGAAUGAUAGUUCAUCGCCAAUGCAGGUCAGCCCGAUACUGUCAGAUGGAUGCAUGUCAGUUGGAGAUGCUCUGCGAGAGAUCGACAGCAAGUCCCUUGUCAGAAGUGACUUCAUCCUCGUUUCAGGAGAUAUCGUCGCCAACAUCAACUUGAAGAAAAUACUAGAAGAGCACAAGAAACGACGAGAGAAGGACAAGUCAAGUGUGAUGACGCUGGUGUGCAAGAAGGCCCCACCGGGACACCGUACACGCUGCAGCGAGGACGAAAUCCUUGUUGCAGUGGAGAGUGACACAAACAGGGUUCUGCAUUAUCAAAAGGCAUACCAGCAAAACAAGUUUCAUAUACCAGUGAGCGUGUUUGUGGAGCACACAGAUGUGGACGUGAGGUAUGACAUGCUAGAUUCGCAGGUGUGCAUCUGUACGCCCCUCGUACCACAACUCUACACGGACAACUUCGACUACCAAUCUCGCGAUGACUUUGUCCGUGGAAUUCUCAUAAGUGAAGAGAUUCUUGGAAACACAAUACACUUGGCUGUUGUGAGGGAUGAGUAUGCUGCCAGAAUAUCCAACCUGCAGAUGUACGAUGCAGUAAGCCAUGAUGUGAUGAGUCGGUGGACAUAUCCCCUGGUGCCCGAUGGCUACAUGACGUCCCUGGAACGUGACGUCAUGUCAUAUGGAAGACACAACGUGUAUCUCAGUAAAGACAUCACAUUAGCCAGAGGUUGUGUCCUGGCCGAGAAUGUUGUGAUCGGAAGCGGAACGUCAGUUGGGAAUAACACACACAUAAGCAACUCGGUUAUAGGGAAAAACUGUCAGAUAGGUGAGAAUGUGAAGAUAGUGGGUAGUUACCUGUGGGAUGGUGUGGUGGUGGAAGACAACUGUGUCAUCGAGACGGCUCUCCUCUGUAGCGACGUCAAGGUCCACAAAGAAGUCAUCAUUCCUCCAGGGGCGGUCCUAGCGUGGGAGGUGAAAGUUGGACCUUCCCUGACUCUACCAGCUGGUUGUCAGCUGAUCAGUAAGCCGCAGGUGGAUGAAUUUGCUGAUGAAGACGAGACUCCCCCAGAACCUGAUGUGACACCAGAGUUCGGCAGUCAGAGCAAAGCGUUUGUGUACCGAGCAAGCUGUGAAUCGGAUGACGAGGAUGAGGAUUUGGUCCAGGACAUGUGGGGACUGACCAUCCAGUCGGAGGAGGAGGACGAUGACAUCAGCAGCAUCGACAGCGACGCCACGGACCAGGAUGACAUUUCUCCAUCAGGCAGCCCUAUACCGGACGACGCUGGAACCUUGAUGCAUGGCGCCGCCACGGUUUGCUUCUUCUGGCUGAUGUUCCUCCUUCGUCACCUCCCUCUCCUCAUGUUCCUCGGGGUCAUUCUCAGCUUCAUUUCGGUCGCCAUGGAAACAGUCAUUCUCCAGAACAAUUCUUGGAAUGUUUUCGGUUAUCUUUAGUGUGAUGUCAUCAGAGACGGUUUGUGUGCACAGUGUUUUGAAGUGAAUGAACUUGAGGAUGUCUUGAAGUGUGUUGCGUGAAGAUUGGUACAGAAGAUGGUCAUAAUGUGGUUACCAUGGUUACAAAUGUUUUGAGAGAUGACUGUUGCCAUGACAGCAGUAACAGGAUUUCUACUCCGAAGUGAUCGACACUCUGAUACGAGCCAAGGAAGAUAACAUCAUCACAGACAACAUUAUCCUGGAGAUAAAUUCACUAAAACAUGCCUACAACAUCGCC